UAAUAAUAUAAUGAGCUGUAAUAAUACAAUAAGCUGUAAUAAUACAAUAAGCUGUAAUAAUACAAUACAUUGUUUUAGUGCUUAUUGCUCUUAGAGUGCCCUUUAAAAUAAAAUCCCAGUAGAAUUACGCCUUAUUACAGGAUUCUUAAAGGAACACUAUAGCGUUUGGAAUACCAAUAUGUAUUCCUAACGCUAUAGAGCCCUAGUCACCGUUUAGCUGACUAGGGCCCCGUUCCGUGGCGAAUAAUGGUGGCCUCUCCUCCUCCAUCGACGUCAGCUCCAGAGUGGAGCCGAAUACGCAUGCACGGUCAGAGGCGCACGUGUAUUAUUAUUUUAUUAUUUAUAUAGCGCCAUCAGAUUCCGUAGUGCUGUACAUUCAAACCCACCCAUACGAAAGCAUUACUCAAUGCUUUUCUAUGGAGAUCUUUUUUGACGCUGGAGGUCCGUGAGGACGUCCUGUGUCAAAUAAGUGCGAUCUACUCAGUGUAAAUCGCGGAAGCGACCUCUAGUGGCUGUCAGGGAGACAGGGAGACGGCCACUAGAGGCUGGAUUAACCCUGCAAUGUAAACAUAGGAAUAUCUCUGAAACUGCUAUGUUUACAGCUGCAGGGUUAAAACGAGGGGGACCUGGCACCCAGAACACUUCAUGGAGCUGAAGUGGUCUGGGUGCCUGUAGUGGUCCUUUAACAUCACUUCCAAAUCCCGUCCUCUUACCAAUAUUAAUGAAUAAAAGUGACAUUUCUACUGAUACAAUGUAAAGUUAUUUGUGUGUAAUGGACCCAUUAGAAUCCAUUAGACCCAGUGGGGGUAACUUUACAGGAGGCCAUUCUAGACAGUCUGCGUUAUUGGGUGCUUCUUAUGUUUUAUUUAUUUAUUUAUUUUAUAAAAACGGCCUAAUUUAGCCUAAUUAAUGCACAGCAGACUCGGAUUGGGUUUUACAAAGUUCUCAUUAAACCCAGUAAUGUGUUUUGAAGGGAUUGUUUCCAUGUAACGUUCCUACCCCUGGCAGAUCAGUUGGUGAUGGAAAUUAAGGAGAUUAAGAAGGGAAGUUGGUGGAGACUAUCAGUGGGCCAGUGAGGAGGUGUCUCAUGGCAGAGGUGCUCUGGUACCUGAUGGUUACACAAUAUAUUAAAGCUGAGAGAUGGAGAGGCUGUAUGUGAGCACAAGAGGAAAAUGGAGGCUGGUAGAUGAGUGGAACUGAGGGGGAGGCUGUGAGAGACAGAGGAAGGCGAGGUGAGUGUGAGUAACUGUCAGUGUGAGGGAGGCUGUGAGUGUGAGUAUCUGUCAGUGUGAGGGAAGGAGGCUGUGAGUGUGUGAGUAUCUGUCAGUGUGAGGGAAGGAGGCUGUGAGUGUGAGUAUCUGUCAGUUUGAGAUUAGGAGACUGUGAAUGUGAGUAUCUGUCAGUGUGAGAUUAGGAGAUUGUGAGUAUCUGUCAGUGUGGAGGAAGGAUGCUGUGAGAGUGAGUAUCUGUCAGUGUGAAGGAGGGAGGCUGUAAGUGUGAGUAUUUGUUAGUUUGAGGGAAGGAGGCUGUGAGUGUGAGUACCUGUCAGUGUGAGGGAGGGAGGCUGUGAAUGUCUGUCAGUGUGAGGUGAGGAAGCUGUGAGUGUGAGUAUCUAUCAGUGUGUAGGAGGGAGGCUGUGAGUGUCUGUCAUUGUGAGGGAAGGAGGCUGUUAAUGUGAGUAUCUGUGAGUGUGAGUACCAGUCAGUGUGAGGGGGGGGAGGGAGGCUGUCAGUGUCUGUCAGUGUGAGGUGAGGAGGCUGUGAGUGUGACUGUCUGUCAGUGUGAGGUGAGGAGGCUGUGAGUGUGAGUACCAGUCAGUGUGAGGGGGGAGGGAGGCUGUGUCUGUCAGUGUGAGGUGAGGAGGCUGUAAAUGUGAGUGUCUGUCAAUGUGAGUUGAGGAGGCUGUAAAUGUGAGUGUCUGUCAGUGUGAGGUGAGGAGGCUGUGAGUGUGAGUACCAGUCAGUGUGAGGGAGGGAGGUUGUGAGUGUGAGUGUCUGUCAGCGUGAGUAUCUGUCAGUGUGAGGUGAGGAGGCUGUGAGUGUAUCUGUCAGUGUGAGGUGAGGAGGCUGUGAGUGUGAGUACCAGUCAGUGUGAGGGAGGGAGGUUGUGAGUGUGAGUGUCUGUCAGCGUGAGUAUCUGUCAGUGUGAGGUGAGGAGGCUGUGAGUGUAUCUGUCAGUGUGAGGGAAGGAGGCUGUGAGUGUGAGUGUCUGUCAGUGUGGGUAUCUGUCAGUGUGAGUAUCUGUCAGUGUGAGUGAAGGAGGCUGUGAGUGUGAGUGUCUGUCGUUUAGUUAUGGUCAGUGAGAACUUGGGUGAGUGUACUGUGAGUGGGAGUGUCUAGAUAUCGAGGACAACGAGCUAUUUCCAGUAUUGUAUUUACAAUGUGAGUCUCUAGUUUCCCCUGGGAAAUGGCCCUUCUAUAACUUCCAUUGUCAAUAAAUGAUAGCUUUGCCUUUGUGUCAUGUUAAACAAUUUGUAUUCUCUCUCUGUGUCUGUGUGUUAUUUGUCUCUGCAUGGUUAUUAC